rnacentral:lncRNA from 1 species
GUGACUAUGGCAGGGCGGUACGCUCUGCUCUCUCGCGACCCCUACUCUAAUAAAAAAACUAAAGGACGCUAUUGAAGAUAGGUCGCCAAACUACGACCGAGAGUUUUGCCUUUUGAAGCGCCAGUCGCGUAGGGCGACCGGGCCAGGGCGAGUUAGAAAGGCUUUGAUGACUCAAGGUUCAUAGUAGGGAAAGGAGAGUGAGGGGAAGAGGG